rnacentral:lncRNA from 1 species
CGCUCGCCGCCGCUGCCGACCCUCAACCGCCAGAGGAUGGGGGGGGGCUGGUUAAAGGGAGGAUGUGAGGGGGGUGAAGGAGGGAGGAAAUGUCACGCUCGGCGGGAGCGAGGGGACGGAGGGACAGCGAGCAACGCCGGCUGUCAAGCAGAGCAGUUGCCAAGUGAUCUUCUCCACAGCACCCACGAACUUUGGCCUUACACUGAAGAGGACUCAUCAAAUGGUGAGAAGUGUGUGGAGGAACGGGUCCUGCGCUCACUGUUGUUACUCCCACAUAGGCGGACUCUGUAACUGAUUAUAUGUGGGUAGGGCCCUAUUGAAAUUAAGGAGAUCCUACAGUAGUGCGGGGUUCUGUUUGUGUGACCCUACUGUGCCUUCUUACUGUGAAUUCUGUCAGUGUAUCAUGGGUUGUGCUGGAACCUGCCUUUUGGGAUAAUGUAAGUUUUGCUUUUCCCCCAAAUGUACUUUAGACGUGAAAUAAUCAUUAUUAAAAAAAAUAAUGUUUUGAAUUAGAAAAUAAAUAUAAUUUACAUGCGUUCUUUUAAUUAUGU